CCUACGGGGGGCAGCAGUGGGGAAUCUUAGACAAUGGGGGAAACCCUGAUCUAGCCAUGCCGCGUGAUCGAUGAAGGCCUUAGGGUUGUAAAGAUCUUUCAGUGGGGAAGAUAAUGACGGUACCCACAGAAGAAGCCCCGGCUAACUCCGUGCCAGCAGCCGCGGUAAUACGGAGGGGGCUAGCGUUGUUCGGAAUUACUGGGCGUAAAGCGCACGUAGGCGGACCGGAAAGUCAGAGGUGAAAUCCCAGGGCUCAACCUUGGAACUGCCUUUGAAACUCCUGGUCUUGAGGUCGAGAGAGGUGAGUGGAAUUCCGAGUGUAGAGGUGAAAUUCGUAGAUAUUCGGAGGAACACCAGUGGCGAAGGCGGCUCACUGGCUCGAUACUGACGCUGAGGUGCGAAAGCGUGGGGAGCAAACAGGAUUAGAUACCCGGGUAGUC
rnacentral:rRNA from 1 species